AGCUUUGUGCAGACAAAGUUAUCGUUGCCAAUGAGGUUUAUCUGAGGUAUGAUUAUUGCUAAUUAAAAACUUUUCCCAAAUUAACAUAUAAGAGUCAACCAGUUGCUGUUGAAUUAACCAGGAGCCCUGGUU